rnacentral:rRNA from 1 species
CCUACGGGAGGCAGCAGUGAGGAAUAUUGGUCAAUGGGCUAAGGCCUGAACCAGCCAAGUCGCGUGAGGGAAGACGGUCCUAUGGAUUGUAAACCUCUUUUGUCGGGGAGCAACGAGGCCACGUGUGGCCGAAGUGAGAGUACCCUAAGAAAAAGCAUCGGCUAACUCCGUGCCAUCAGCCGCGGUAAUACGGAGGAUGCGAGCGUUAUCGGGAUUUAUUGGGGUUAAAGGGUGGUUAGGCGGAAUGCCAAGGAAGCGGUAAAAUCGCGGGGCUAAACCUCGCUCCGCAGUUGAAACUGGCGUUCUUGAGUGGGCGAGAGGUAUGCAGAAUGCGUGGUGUAGCGGUGAAAUGCGUAGAUAUCACGAAGAACUCC